CUACGAGAGAAAAACCUGGAGCUAGGGGCUUCUGCACGUACCUCCCUACGGAACACAGCUACAGCGACGCAACGCAACGCCUGCCAACUACAAAAGUGGCACCGCCGACUCGCACCGCGCACGCGCAGCCCGGGACCCUGCGCGGAGACGGCUGGCGCGUGCGCAGUGCUGGGCCGGCGAGGCGACGGACGGGGCGCGUGCGCGUGCGCGGCGUGGGGGGGCGGGGACGGGGCGGCGCUGGUCCGUCAUGGGUGGCUAAGGGGCGGGAGCCGCCAGGGAGACGGGGCGGGCCGAAGGAGCGGCGCCGUGCACGGGGUUGGCUGCUGCCCUGAGGCCGGACUCAACGGAUCCGGGCCGCGCCACCGGGCGAGCUCGCCGCCCGGCCCCAGCCCGGAGCCAGCGAGUGAGCGAGGCGGUGCCGCGCGAAAAUACAGUUAUAAAAGGACCAGCAAUACCAGCAUUCAGGAGGUAGAGGCAGGAGGACCACGAGCUCAGAGUCAUCCUCAACUGCAAAGUGAGUUUGAGGCCAGCCUGGGCCACAUGAAACUUUGCUUGAAAACAAAUAAUCAAGAAGUAAAAUUCGGGUCUGGAGAGAUGGCUCAGUGGUUAAGAGCCCUUGUUCUUCCAGAGUACUGGGGUUCUACAUGAUUCCCUGAUAGUAGGUGUGGCAUUUAGGAAGGGAGAGGAAAGGAAUUUUGAGCUUUUAGGAAUAGCUGUGACUCGAACGUUCCUUUGUUGGGGGAGGGGGGUCAGCUAAGGGAGGGAAAGGUAUGGGGACAUCAACAGCACCCCUCAUAAAGGACCGGCAGUCAAUGUUUUAGUCGUUAUAAACGAUAUAGUCAGUUCUGUAGCUAAUCAGCUCUCACUGUAGUUCAAAGUAGCCUUAAAUAAUAUGUGAAUGAGUGUAACUGGGUUUCAGUAAAAGUUAAGCAUUUACAGUUUUUCAUGACGUGAAAUAAUCUAGAUUUACUCUCCAAUCCUUCAAUGACAUAGUAAUAUAAUCUGAGUUGGUGAUAGUCUGGAUUUGGCCUUCUCAUAGAAAUACUUAAAAAUUGUUAGUUUCCCCCAUCUCUUCAUUGCUAUGUAUGAAUAUAUAGUUGUUUGUUGCACACCAGUCUUGUACUCAGAUCUUGCUGUACUUAGAUUUCUCUGUAGUGUUUGUUGUAGAGUCUAUUAGAUACUCCAUUCAGUGAUAUCUGGGAAUAAAAGCAGUUUUACUACUUCCUCUCCA
rnacentral:lncRNA from 1 species